rnacentral:rRNA from 1 species
CGGUAGAGAGAAGCUUGCUUGUCUUGAGAGCGGCGGACGGGUGAGUAACGCGUAGGAAUCUACCUGGUAGUGGGGGACAACAUUCGGAAACGGAUGCUAAUACCGCAUACGCCCUACGGGGGAAAGGAGGGGAUCUUCGGACCUUUCGCUAUCAGAUGAGCCUGCGUAGGAUUAGCUAGUUGGUGGGGUAAAGGCCCACCAAGGCGACGAUCCUUAGCUGGUCUGAGAGGAUGACCAGCCACACUGGGUCUGAGACACGGCCCAGACUCCUACGGGAGGCAGCAGUGGGGAAUAUUGGACAAUGGGGGCAACCCUGAUCCAGCCAUGCCGCGUGUGUGAAGAAGGCCUUCGGGUUGUAAAGCACUUUCAGAGGUGAGGAAAGGGUAACCGCUAAUACGGGUUAUCUGUGACGUUAGCCACAGAAGAAGCACCGGCUAAUUCCGUGCCAGCAGCCGCGGUAAUACGGAAGGUGCGAGCGUUAAUCGGAAUAACUGGGCGUAAAGCGCGCGUAGGUGGUUGAGUCAGUCAGAUGUGAAGGCCCCGGGCUUAACCUGGGAACUGCACCUGAUACUGCUUAACUAGAGUACGGUAGAGGGCAGUGGAAUUUCCUGUGUAGCGGUGGAAUGCGUAGAUAUAGGAAGGAACACCAGUGGCGAAGGCGACUGCCUGGACUGAUACUGACACUGAGGUGCGAAAGCGUGGGUAGCAAACAGGAUUAGAUACCCUGGUAGUCCACGCCGUAAACGAUGUCGACUCGCCGUUGGGAGACUUGUUCUCUUAGUGGCGCACCUAACGCACUAAGUCGACCGCCUGGGGAGUACGGCCGCAAGGUUAAAACUCAAAUGAAUUGACGGGGGCCCGCACAAGCGGUGGAGCAUGUUGUUUAAUUCGACGCAACGCGAAGAACCUUACCUACUCUUGACAUCCAGAGAACUCGCUAGAGAUAGCUUGGUGCUUUCGGGAG